GUACGCAAAUAAGGGCGUAUGGUGGAUGCCUUGACACUAAGAGACGAUGAAGGACGUUGCAGGGUGCGAUAAGCCUCGGUUAGGUCCCAAGCAACCUUUGACCCGGGGAUGUCCGAAUGGGGGAACCCCGCCGACUUUACGUCGGUGAUUACGCGCUGAAUUCAUAGGCGCGUAAAGAAGACCUGGUGAAGUGAAACAUCUCAGUAACCAGAGGAAAAGAAAACGAAAAAUAUUAGCCUUCAGCUUUCAGUCUUCAGCUUUCGGUAUUGCCGAUCGCGGAAGUCUGAUAGCUGAUAGCUAUUGUGAUUCCCUAAGUAGUGGCGAGCGAAAGGGGAACAGCCCAAACCUACACUGUGUUGGAUUGCGGAAGAAUCUGUCUUCGGACUUAUUUAGACGCAAUCUUUAAAGGACAGGCCGUUGCGGUGUAGGGGUUAUAGGACAGAAUGUUUGAUUACCUGUUUUAAUCAGGCAUGCCGCGGUUUUUAUAGUCGAAGACCCCUGGAAAGGGGCACCAUAGCAGGUGAUAGUCCUGUAGACGAAAUAUUAAUUGCGCGUGUAUUUUUGUUCCUGAGUACGGCGGAACACGAGAAACUCCGUCGGAAUUUCGGCCGACUAUGGCCUAAGGCUAAAUACUCUUAGUGAUCGAUAGUGAACAAGUACCAUGAGGGAAAGGUGAAAAGCAGCCCGGUGAGGGCGAUGAAAUAGUAUCUGAAACCAUAUGCCUACAAUGAGCUAGAGUCCCGAUAUCGCAAGAUAUCGCGGAUGAUAGUAUUCCUAUUGAAGAAUGAGCCUGCGAGUGUGCUGUCGGUUGCAAGGUUAAUCCCGAUUAAAACGGGAGGAGCCGUAGGGAAACCGAGUCUUAACUGGCGAUUUAGUAGCCGGCACAUAACCCGAAACCGGGUGGUCAAUCCAUGGCCAGGAUGAAGGUUGAUGAAAAUCAGCUGGAGGUCCGAACCCACGCGCUGUGCAAAACGCGGGGAGGAGCUGUGGAUAGGAGAGAAAUUCUAAUCGAACUCGGUAAUAGCUGGUUCUCCUCGAAAUAUAUUUAGGUAUAGCUGCAUGUGUUCCCUCUGGGGGUAGAGCACUGGAUGAGAUUGGGGUCCGCAAGGAUACUCAUCUUAAUCAAACUCCGAAUACCAGAGGUCAAAAAUAUGCAAGUCAGACAGUGGGGGCUAAGCUUCAUUGUCAAAAGGGAAACAGCCCAGAUCACCAACUAAGGUCCCUAAGUUACUACUAAGUGUAAAAGGUGGUGUUGAUUCACAUACAACCAGGAGGUUGGCUUAGAAGCAGCCAUCCUUUAAAGAAAGCGUAAUAGCUCACUGGUCAAGAGUCUUCGCGCCGAAAAUGUACCGGGGCUAAGUAGUACACCGAAGUUGUGAGCUUGUGCGUGGCACAAGCAAGUUAUAAAGUCCAUAAAGUCCAUAAAGUCCAUAAAGUUGUUUGAUACGACUUUAUAGACUUUUGACUUUUGACUUUUGACUUGCUCGUGUCGCGCACGAGCGGUAGAGGAGCAUUUAGAGCAGCUGUGAAGUCUAACCUGUGAGGGAAGAUGGAGCGCUCUGAAGAGAGAAUGCAGGCACAAGUAGCAAAAAUGCCGGUGAAAGUCCGGCACGCCGAAAAACCAAGGUUUCCAGGGCAACGAGAAUCGUCCCUGGGUUAGUCGGUCCUAAGGCCAGCCCCGAUGUAAAUCGGGGGUAACCGAUGGAUGAGCAGGUUAAUAUUCCUGCACUUGAUAUAGUUUGUCCUGUGUGCGUGCUUUGCCGGUGAAAGCGUUGUAUGGCUACACGUCCCGCAAGGGGUAGGCUGAAUCUUCGGAAGAGGCCAACUUUCAUUUAAUAAGCACCGAGAAAAGCACAGUGACGUUAGGUUAUGUCAAUCCGUACCUCAAACCGACUCAGGUGGUUAAGUCGAGAAGACUAAGGCGAACGAGAGAAAUAUAGUUAAGGAACUCUGCAAUUUAGCGGCCGUAACUUCGGGAUAAGGCCUGCCCUUCGCAAGAAGGGCCGCAGCUAAAGACCUCAUGCGACUGUUUACCAAAAACACAGCUCCCUGCAAAAGCGUAAGCUGAAGUAUAGGGAGUGAUGCCUGGCCAGUGUCAGAACGUUAAGGGGAGAGGUGAUCUCCGACGCAAGUCGGAGCGCAGCCUUGAGCCGAAGCGCUGAUGAAC
rnacentral:rRNA from 1 species